ensembl:rRNA 5S_rRNA 5S ribosomal RNA
AAUAGUUGUCAUACCACCCUGAACACACUCAAUCUCAUCUGAUCUCGGAAACUAAGCAGGGUUGGGCCUGGUUACUACUUGGAUGGGAGAAAUAAUAGUCAACCCAUAUUUGUAACCUGGGAGAACUACUG